UGUGUGUGUGUGUUCUGUUUAAACCUUGUAUUAACAGUGCUUAUCCCCCGGGUACAGGUUCAAUAAGUUGUCCAGAAAAACCUACAGAAGCGGGGGCAAUAAGACCAAGCCUUACGUUAGGCCCGAGACAGAGUACACAGCGUGUCAAGAAGCGGGGCCAUCCGGAAUAACACAGAACAAAGUCGAUCACACAACUCCUUACCACUACGGAUCCCUUGAAGACCCCUUGACGUUUUUGGAAUAUUUACGUGAUAUUGAACUCCCAGAACAACAAGAAAAACCACAACCUUUGGGCAACGUCGGAGAAUCGGAAGAAUUCUUCAUCACCGGGCCACACAUACCAGCGAGUGAGUGUCUGCCUAGUGAUUUCAGCGAUGUUUUCGAGUACAGUCUAUCAGAUUUCAACAUAAAUGACAUACCCGCCACGCCAGAAUGUCUCAGAAACAACAGUGAUUCAGACAUAGGUUUUGAAGAAGGGUGCAUAACAGACUCACAAAUAUCGCAGGCAUAUGAUGCAUACUUAAAUGCAGCAAAACCCUCUACUUUUGAACAGAGCCAUUAUGCUUCAA